rnacentral:rRNA from 1 species
UACGAAGGGGGGCUAGCGUUGUUCGGAAUUACUGGGCGUAAAGCGCGCGUAGGCGGUGAUCGUUUGAUCAGAGGUGAAAGCCCGGGGCUCAACCCCGGAAUUUGCCUUUGAAACGGGAUCGCUUGAGUCCGAGAGGAGGAUGGCGGAAUUCCUAGUGUAGGGGUGAAAUUCGGUAAGAUAUUAGGAAGAACACCGGUGGACAGAAGGCGGCCAUCGUGGACUGGUACCGUGACGCUAC